CCCUCACCUCCUCCUGGGGCACCUGGAGAGGCCAGGGCAGGAGGGCCUGGACCUCCAGCUGCAGGAGGAGCUGGGACCCACUGCUCUGCCCUCCAGCCAGCCGAGACCUCUGAACCCCAGGUCCUACCAGGAAUGAACCCUUCUUACCCAGAAGUCCGGAGUGUCACCCUGGCCUGGUGACCUGGAAGUCCCCUCAGGAAUCAGAGUGGCUCCAGAUGCCUGCACAGGGCCUCUGACCAUGAGCAGAUCUCCUGGACCCAUCACCACCCGGGAGGUCUUGGGCAAAACUCCUCUGCCCCAAACUCCUCCUCAGCGUCUUUGUGUGGAAACAUCUCAGCCAGGCACGGUGCCCCACACCUGUGAUCUCAGCACUCAGGAGGCCGAGGCAGGAGGAUCGCUGCAAGUUCAAGCCCAGCCUGGAUUACACAGUGAGACUGUCUCAAAAAACAAACAAUACCAAAAAAUCUCAAAUGCACAUGAACAAAAACACAGCUCCACCACCUCUUCCGCUCUGACGGGUUCCAGCUUACCCAGGCUGCCCCUAACCAAGCCGCCCUCUGCCAUCCCCAGGCCGCGCCCUUGCCUUGUGGCCACGAGCUCCCCUGUCCCGCCUGUGUCUGCCUCCCUCCUGUCUGUGACUCCUUAAGGGCAGGAGCUGAUGUUCCGCGUGCCCAUUGCUGGAGCCCACCCAGGGGGCUGUGGCCGGAGCUGCGUCUCCUAGCAACAUGUCCGAUGCUGACUGACUUUCAGACUGACUUUCCGCAGGCCCUGCUCCUACAUGGAUGGGGUUCGGCAGCGCCCCCAGGGCUCUGGUUUCCCGCUCCUUCUGAGGUUCUGGACAGCAGCCUCCCGCUUGGGGAGGCUGAGGCCCGGACAGAAGGCUGCUGGCGGCGCUGUGAAGGGGUCUCCCGCAGGGGCGCGCUCUCCCUCACGGGCACCCCCAUUUCUCGCCUGCACUCCGGGGCAGAAGAAAGCAUUGAAGGGAGGUCCAGGAGACACCCACUGCCCCAGCCGGGCUGCCGCAUGUGUGGAAUUGUUCCGGACUCAGGAAUGCGAUCAGUGGUGGAGGACACGGGUUCCAUAGAAGCACCUCAUUCAUGUUGUGCUGGACCCCGGGUGCAGGGGUUCACAGGAGGCCUGAGAUGCAUACAGCGGUCCCCUCUCAUCCAAGAUUUCAUUUUCCGCAGUUUCUGUUACUGAGGUCAGCCUGGUCCCAAACUAUGACAUGGAAAAUUCUAGAACUAAUUCAUAACUGUUAAAAUAAAUUGUAUUACAACAUAUCAUUAUUGUUCUACUGCAUUUGUUAUUGUUGAUCUCUCCCUGC
rnacentral:lncRNA from 1 species